rnacentral:rRNA from 1 species
ACGGGUGCGUAACGCGUGGGAAUCUGCCCUUUGGUUCGGAAUAACAGCUGGAAACGGCUGCUAAUACCGGAUGAUGACGUAAGUCCAAAGAUUUAUCGCCAGAGGAUGAGCCCGCGUUGGAUUAGGUAGUUGGUGGGGUAAAGGCCUACCAAGCCGACGAUCCAUAGCUGGUCUGAGAGGAUGAUCAGCCACACUGGGACUGAGACACGGCCCAGACUCCUACGGGAGGCAGCAGUGGGGAAUAUUGGACAAUGGGCGAAAGCCUGAUCCAGCAAUGCCGCGUGAGUGAUGAAGGCCCUAGGGUUGUAAAGCUCUUUUACCCGGGAAGAUAAUGACUGUACCGGGAGAAUAAGCCCCGGCUAACUCCGUGCCAGCAGCCGCGGUAAUACGGAGGGGGCUAGCGUUGUUCGGAAUUACUGGGCGUAAAGCGCACGUAGGCGGCUUUGUAAGUCAGAGGUGAAAGCCUGGAGCUCAACUCCAGAACUGCCUUUCAGACUGCAUCGCUUGAAUCCAGGAGAGGUCAGUGGAAUUCCGAGUGUAGAGGUGAAAUUCGUAGA